UAUAUACCCAAAAUAAAUGAAAACAAGUUCUCUUUUAAAAAUUGUAAAACAUACAGAAAACAGUAUAACAGAUACUCAGUAUCCAUCACUAGACCCAGCAUAUGUUUCCAACCUUUAAAAUUUUUUUAUAUGGCUAACGCUCCACUCAUCCCCAUCCUUUCCCCUCUGUACUGUCCCCAGAACCCUAGGUGUCAGCACAAUCCUGAAGUCGGCCCUGAAUGAGACAGCAGUGUACAGAGAUAAGUAAAAUAUAUCCUUGCCCUUAAGGAGCACGUACAAGCACUCAAGACCUAUAAUCCAUCUCAAGUCCCCAGAACAUGGGUGCUCAGAAGCAGCAGUGGUGUGGUGGCAAGGGCAUCAGAACCUGCAAUCCAGCCUGUGAUACUGCACAAGUCACUCACUCCCUCUGAUAUGAGCUCACUUCACACACUUGCUGGAAGGGUUCACUGUGUUAGGUUGAUCCCUGGUUUUCUUUUCAAACAGAAAAACUAGAGAAAUCAAGGGAUUUGCCCAUAGAUUAUCUAGAAAUGGGGUAAGAACCAGACUCUGAUCCCCUACUAAAUCUAUACACCAUGCCAGCUCUUCUAGGGACCCAGAAUGAAGUCAUACAAAAGCACAUGCUAUUCCAGGCAGGGUAGGGUAGGAUGAAAGAAAAUGGCGUAAGUAUCAGUAUCUCAGAUUAUUCAGCGAUCUCAAGUGAGGCUGAGAGGAGCAGGUGGGCCUAAAAAGGAGUGUUCUAGAACAAAAGAAGGGGGCAUGAGUGGUUUGAAACUGCAGAAGUUCAAA